GCCCCCUUACGGUCAUUGUCCUCCAGAUGGAGUGAUCGAAGUGAUCGUAAUAUAACGACUGGAUUAUUCAGGUUAGUCGGAUACCUUAAAAUGCAUUGGCGGAUCCAGAGGGAGGGUUCCGGGGUUGGAACCCCCCUUUUUUUUUGACGAUCAAUGCAUUUGAAUGGGGACAUAUAGUUGUAACCCCCCUUCCUUUGUCCUGGGUUGCGACCCCCCCUUUUUUUAAAUGGCUGGAUACGCCCCUGAAAUGCUACCUUUGAAAGUCUCACUGUCUGUUUAUUCCUAGAUCAGUAUGACUCUUAAAGAUUGACCUAUAAGUAACAGUGUGUCAUCUCAACACAGAGACAAUAUAUCAUAUAAGGGUUUUCAAUAAAUGUCGCCGUUUCAAAUGCUUAACCAAUAAAUAUUUUUGAAGAGUCAGGCGCGGAUGCAGGGGGGGGGGGUGUUCCGGGGGUUGGAACCCCCCUUUUUUUGGACGAUCAAUGCAUUUGAAUGGGACAUGUAGUUGGAACCCCCCCCCCCCCCUUUUUGUCCUGGGUUAGGAACCGCCCCUUUUUAAAAUGGCUGGAUUCACCCCUGAGAGUAUACAAUCAAACUGAGUUUCUAUUAACCUUUUGUCUAUUGGGGUUCUUAGUUUUAUAGAUUUUACAAAUUCGAUGCCAGUGGUCAACAGCCUAAUGAUAUCCGAUCAGGACAGUCAACGGAUAGUAAUUACGUCCACGACUGGCACGUUCAAUAAAACAUUAUUUGAUUGGUCCGUUACUAACUCAUUAAUCAUUUGCUACUAUAAAUAAAUUUGUCCUCGUUGUUAUAUGUCGAGUUAUCUCGCCUACAACAAUCUUAGUAUUUCGCAUUUAUAUUAUUUUUGUAAAAACAAGGAUUUGUAUAGUACAAAAUAUAUAUACAAAUCGUUUGUUUGAACAAAUUAUAGUUUCUAUCAUAAAAAAAAUAUAAUUGAAAUAUUAUAGGAUUAAACGCUUUUUUAAAAGAAUUUAUUGGUGUAUAAACUCGACCAAUUCACUCACAAACGAAUAAAAAUCUUUCGGACUUUUAUGAUAUGAUCUGAUAUGUUUGUGGCUGACUAAGCCAGUUGAUACAUCAAUAAAUUCCUUGAAAAGGGCGUUUAACUUUAUUUUUGUGUUCUGUUAUCUUCAAAACAUUGUAUUUCAAACUUUAAUUAGUUUACAUACUCUUUACCACUAUCAUGGCGAAUAUAUAACUAUAUUCAUGUCAAAGAUUAUUUGUGUAUGCAUGUAUAUUUUUUGUUCCGUUGCAGGAAAAUAAGUCAUGUUGCACCUUUUUUUUUUAAUUUUUUGUCACUUCUGAAUAUUCUUGAAUCAAACUACUAUGUAUAUAAUAUAUUUUGAUUGUAUAAUAGCAAUAAGGUUAUAUAUAUAUCUUGCAGAUUGCAGAAAGUGUAAAGUUAACAAUUUCAGUAGAAAUGGUCAUAAUAUUUCCCAGUUAGUUAAAGAUAUGGAGAAAACCGCUGAUGUUUUAUGAUUGGAAGAAAUACCUUCAGCAAUAUUUUUUUUAAAAAAUACUGCAGCAUUUUAGAACUGAUCGCCACUUCACGAUUCAUUCAGCGAAACCUGGAUAUUUUGUUGGCACAGUCCUGUUAGACUCUGUACCUAUAACCGUCAAUUUAUUUUUAAAAAAAACGUUAUAAUUAUAACAUCUACUAUGCAAAACACUUUAACACCAAAAGGAUUAGAUGCAGCCAGACAGUUGUAUUUAUACGAAUUUACAAAUCAGUGAUUUUUGUUAUAACGACUCUAAUAAAGUUGUCAUUUGUCAACCAUUGCAAAAACUUAGAUUGACAUGACCAUUGAUGUGGAUAUCAAGAAAGAUAAAUGUCCAUCAAGAAAGCUGUAUCUACUGAAUAAAAAUACCAACAA
rnacentral:lncRNA from 1 species